CAGCUUCUCCCUGUACCAAGCACUGCCACGCAGCACCAGAGAGCCAUGAGUACGUAAGGAGAGCCCAGCAGUGUCAGACUUUUUGACGCGUUUUGAGUGUUGUUGGGGUGUUUUGAGUGCAUUAUGGAGUGUUUUUGUGUGUGGUUGUAUUGAGGUGCUGUGAGUGUGUUUUUAGUUUAUUUUGGGUGUUUUAAGUGUUUUGGGUGAGUUUGGGUGUGUGUGUGGUCUAUUGGGCGUAUUUGAGAGUGUGUGGCGUGUUCUGAGUGCGUUUGGGUGUGUUAGGGGCAUAUUCUGUGGUGAUGUGCGUGUUUUGGAUAUUUUAAUCGUGAUUUAAAUGUGUUUGGAUGAGUUUUGUGGGUAGUUUGGCGUGUUUUGUGUGUGUUUUGGAUGUUUUGAGUGUGUUUGGGUGAGUUUUGUGGGUAGUUUGGUGUGUUGUUGUCCCUAGGAAGGAGAGAAAGCGAGAUAAGACGGGACAUCAUGGUAAGCCUAACAUUUCUGCCAAUAUUACAGGAUACCACACGGAGGGGUGGUGAAGGAGCUUUGGGGAUGGCUGAAGGAAAGGCAGUGAAGGAGGGAGGCCUGGAGGUGAAGGAAAUGCAGAAAAUUCCUCUAAUACUGAGCGCUUCUCUGGUCAGACCAUCCUUCACUGAAUAUUUGGACCGACGCUUCGAGAUACGAGUGAGCCAGGUGACCCCCAGAACAGCGCGAUCCUGCCUACUUGUGGUGUGGGAGCCCUGAUCGUCCCCUUUCCUCCCUCCUCCUCCUCCUCCUCCUCUUCCCCCUCCAGCAUAGAAGAGACGUUUAAUCAGCUGGUGGACAGCGCUUCCUCCGCCCCCCUGUCAGAUAUGGAGGGGUUGGGGAAAGGAUGCCGUGUCCCUGAGUCUGCCCCUGACUGGCCAGCUGACGCCCAUUGAUAUCUCCAUGGCAGUGGUGAGGCAGGAGAUGACUCAAGCACCAGUGGGGACAGGUGCGUGCUACGCCAGCUGUGGGCUGCCAGCUUCACCUGGUGCGUGGACAUGUCCUGCACUUGGGGCGUGGCCGCCGUGAACAUGUUCCACAGCCGCGAAGUCCUGGCUGUGUAGGUACGCUGGUGUUGGCUAGAGCGAGAUCGAGGCACCUUCACUAGCUCGUCGCUACUGGCCGCAGCUCUGGUGCACCUCUUCACUGUGUGUGGCAGCAACCUCAGGGAGUCAAGGUGAGGGACCCUCUGCACCUGAGUUUUGUGUAUUGAGGUGUGAGUGUGUUU